CGGUAGCACAGAGGAGCUUGCUCCUUGGGUGACGAGUGGCGGACGGGUGAGUAAUGUCUGGGAAACUGCCCGAUGGAGGGGGAUAACUACUGGAAACGGUAGCUAAUACCGCAUAACGUCGCAAGACCAAAGAGGGGGACCUUCGGGCCUCUUGCCAUCGGAUGUGCCCAGAUGGGAUUAGCUAGUAGGUGGGGUAACGGCUCACCUAGGCGACGAUCCCUAGCUGGUCUGAGAGGAUGACCAGCCACACUGGAACUGAGACACGGUCCAGACUCCUACGGGAGGCAGCAGUGGGGAAUAUUGCACAAUGGGCGCAAGCCUGAUGCAGCCAUGCCGCGUGUAUGAAGAAGGCCUUCGGGUUGUAAAGUACUUUCAGCGAGGAGGAAGGCAUUAAGGUUAAUAACCUUAGUGAUUGACGUUACUCGCAGAAGAAGCACCGGCUAACUCCGUGCCAGCAGCCGCGGUAAUACGGAGGGUGCAAGCGUUAAUCGGAAUUACUGGGCGUAAAGCGCACGCAGGCGGUCUGUCAAGUCGGAUGUGAAAUCCCCGGGCUCAACCUGGGAACUGCAUCCGAAACUGGCAGGCUAGAGUCUUGUAGAGGGGGGUAGAAUUCCAGGUGUAGCGGUG
rnacentral:rRNA from 1 species